CCCUACGGGACGCAGCAGUAGGGAAUUUUCGUCAAUGGGCGCAAGCCUGAACGAGCGAUGCCGCGUGAGUGAAGAAGGCCUUCGGGUCGUAAAGCUCUGUUGCGGGGGAAAAAAGGCAGCAUCAGGAAAUGGGUGCUGACUGAUGGUGCCCCGCCAGAAAGUCACGGCUAACUACGUGCCAGCAGCCGCGGUAAUACGUAGGUGGCGAGCGUUAUCCGGAAUGAUUGGGCGUAACGGGUGCGCAGGCGGUCCUGCCAGUCUGGAGUGAAACGCAUGAGCUCAACUCCUGCAUGGCUUUGGAAACU
rnacentral:rRNA from 1 species